AGGGAAUCUUCCACAAUGGACGAAAGUCUGAUGGAGCAACGCCGCGUGAGUGAUGAAGGUUUUCGGAUCGUAAAACUCUGUUGUAAGGGAAGAACCAGUAUGUCAGGCAAUGGACGUACCUUGACGGUACCUUAUUAGAAAGCCACGGCUAACUACGUGCCAGCAGCCGCGGUAAUACGUAGGGUGCAAGCGUUAAUCGGAAUUACUGGGCGUAAAGCGUGCGCAGGCGGUUUUGUAAGACAGUGGUGAAAUCCCCGGGCUCAACCUGGGAACUGCCAUUGUGACUGCAAGGCUGGAGUGCGGCAGAGGGGGAUGGAAUUCCGCGUGUAGCAGUGAAAUGCGUAGAUAUGCGGAGGAACACCGAUGGCGAAGGCAAUCCCCUGGGCCUGCACUGACGCUCAUGCACGAAAGCGUGGGGAGCAAACA
rnacentral:rRNA from 1 species